CUCGUACAGUGAACUUGCGAAUGGCUCAUUAAAUCAGUUAUGGUUCAUUUGAUCGUACAGUUUACUUGGAUAACUGUGGUAAUUCUAGAGCUAAUACAUGCGAGAAGCGCCGACCUCGCGGGAGGCGUGCAUUUAUCAGACCAAAAACCGGCCGCGUCUUCGGGCGCGUUCGCCUUGGUGACUCUGGAUAACUUUGCGGAUCGCACGGUCUAGCACCGGCGACGGAUCAUUCAAGUGUCUGCCCUAUCAACUUUCGUCGGUACGGUAUUUGCCUACCGAGGUUCUUACGGGUGACGGGGAAUCAGGGUUCGAUUCCGGAGAGGGAGCCUGAGAAACGGCUACCACAUCCAAGGAAGGCAGCAGGCGCGCAAAUUACCCAUUCCCGACGCGGGGAGGUAGUGACGAAAAAUAACAAUGCAGGACUCGUUCGAGGCCCUGUAAUUGGAAUGAGUACACUUUAAAAGCUUUAACGAGUAUCCAUUGGAGGGCAAGUCUGGUGCCAGCAGCCGCGGUAAUUCCAGCUCCAAAAGUAUAUAUUUAAGUUGUUGCGGUUAAAAAGCUCGUAGUUGGAUUUUGGGCGCAGGCGGCCGGUCCGUCGCAAGGCGUGUACUGGACGUCCUGGCCUUCCCUCCGGUUCUCCGCCGGUGCUCUUGACUGAGUGUCGGCGGCGGCCGGAACGUUUACUUUGAAAAAA
rnacentral:ncRNA from 1 species